UUUCUUGAGCUUCUGGAAGUCAGUCUAAAUUCAAGAUGCCAGCAAGACUGCUCGCUUCGGAGACUCCAGGGGACGAUCUGCCUUCUUGCCUUUUCCAAGCCUUUUCUGCAUCUCUUGCUUUCUUUUGUCUGCGGCCCCUUCCUUUACUUUCAAAGCAUCACCCCAAUGUCUGCUUCCGUUGCCACGUUGGAGUCUCCUUUCUGCGGUCAGAUCUCCCUCUGUCUUCCUCUUAUAAUGAUAUUUGUGAUCAUAUUCAGGGUCCAGUUUGAUAAUCCAGGAUAAUCUUCCCAUCUCAAGAUCCUCGAUUUCAAUACAUCUAUAGACUCUUUUUUGCCAUAAGGUAACAUUCACAAGAUGCAGGGAUUAGGACCUGGAUAUUUUUAGUAGUCAUCAUUCAGUCUUACCACACCCACCCAGGGAGAUUAUCAGGAAACCUGUCUUGGCUGAGAUUCUGUGUAGAAAUAAAACCAAACCAACCAAACAAAAAAACAGCCUCCAUGUGUCCUAUUCUGCAGUGACCUAGAGUAAGAGACUAUAUAACCCAUGUGUGAUAGGAAUCCCUAAGCCUCAAGAUUUACAUUAAAAUGUUUCUGGGAUCAUGAUACCUCUGAGACACUCACCAAAAGCAAAUGUAAAGCUUUCUCUAGAGCGAUAUUUUCGCAACCUAUAUUGCAUUGAAGUCACUCCCAUAAUCGUCACGGAACAUGUGCUCGUACUCAAAAAAUCACAAAAUUCACGAGAAAAGAAAGGCAAAGUAAACAUGUACAAUACACAGGGGGAUCUGCACAUCAAGAAGUCAGGAUAAAGCCAUCUAAAUGGAGACCACGAGAAGCUUAAAAUGACUAAAGAUGUGCAAUGAAUGAUCGAACUGUAAGAAAAAAAAUAAGGCUCCGUGGAAAAAAAAAAAAGACUAGGCAGAUUUGAGAAAGAAACAAAUGUUGCUUCUAGAAACAAAAAUCAUUGAAGUUGAAAGCUUGAGGGUUCAGAAAGCAGAGUAGACACAGCAGUAGAUGGAACUUAUGCCUGGAAGACAAGAUUUUAGGAUAUUAACAGAAUGUAGUCUGCCUUUUUUUUUUUUUUUUUUUGCGGUCUGCCAACUUUUAAUAGGGGCUCAAAGAGAAGGGAGAGAGUCAACAUUCAGUGAGAAAAUGUCCGAGAAUUUUCCACAGUUGAAGAAAGACACAAACGCUCAGAUUGGAGAUUUCCAACGCAUCCAGAGCCAACAAGAAGAAAAAAAUGAAUCCGCACCUAUGUACUUCGAAGUAAAACAGCAGACUGAAAAAUUAAUGCAUUAGGAGAGGUAUUCUCGUAGUUACAACUUCACAUUUCUAUCACACUCCAGUCACCCCUCCAUUUUGAUUUGCUCCCUGAACCACAGAGCUGAAAGGAAACAGGGAUCAUCUCACUUAAACCUUUUAGUUUAUUGAGGGGAAACGGAGGCCAGAGAGGAGGCGCGGCUUUCCCAAGACCAUCCCAGGAGCUCAAGUCAACAGAAAUCCGGUAUCGCAAACCCUAGCUUAGGCUCUUUCCGGGAGCUCUGAGGCUUUAUCUGAGUCUCCACGGUGGUCUGAAGACAAAAGAGAGAAUGCCCACAGUGGGGAAGUGACCAAAAUAAACAAGGACAAUCUAUUAGCAUUAAACACUGACUAAAUGAGACCCAAUAUUCUCCUUUAUUAAGUCAAGCUGAGAAGUUGAACGCAGGAGCCGUUUUGUAUGUCAGCACCAUAGCAAUUAUGAAUGGACUGAUUAAUAAGUAAACAAACAAAUACUAGGAAAUCAGGCUUCUUUUAAUGCUUCAAACUCGCAAUAACACCCUGCUAACAUGAACUCCAAGUAUUAACACUAAUAACCACACUAAUCAUAGGGAUGAAAACUCCAAAUUAAUUCAAAUGCUGCUCAAUAGACCAUCACUGUGUCCUCCCUGCCUGUUCCUUUUCUAUCUGUUCAGAUCUCCAUGCAGUAAUUAAAUCCAUUAAAAUGUAAAACUAGCUUUUGUGCUCAAGGGGAAAAAUGAAAAAGGACUCUGACCGGCAUCCCUGGGGAUGGACCUGUGACUUCUCAGAACUUCGGUUAUAUCCAAAUUCUUGGCUUUUUUUUUUUUUUUUUUUCUGAAACAGCAGCUCUCCCUCACGGGGAUCCAGUUGCCAGGCUGAGUCCGCAGCAUUUCUUAUCAAAAUAGAAGACGUGGCUUUAUGAAGAGGCUGAACAGAGGACUAGGAGAAGCCAGGCUGACGUCCUGGCUCUGCCUCGUAGAGCUGCCCUUGAUUGAAAGGAUCUCAAACCCACUUGAAGCAAUUGCUCAACUUUUGGCUUCAUGACAUGCCAACUGUACCAAUGUUAGGUAAGGAGUGGGAAAACUCUGGGCGGGCUUCCAGGGUACCUACUCAGCUGUCCUGUAUCACCAACAAAUGUACUGUGUAAGACAACCUUGGCCAAGCUUCCUCUUUCAACCAAGCCUCAGUUUCCCUCUCUGAAAAAUGAGCCAUAUUUGACCCGUUGCCGCCUGGCCCACACCAGUGAGAAUGUGACUGAAAAGUGCUUUCUACAGUUGAGAGAGUUUUACCCCCCCUAGGAGGGUAUAUGUAUUACUCUUAUUUGACCACUCUGGAUAGAGGAAGUAACAUCACAUGGCCCUCCAACUGCUCUCCCUCCUAAAAUAUACUUGUUUAGAAAGACAAACAAAAUAGGAAUUGUCCAAGAAAGGCAAUGGAAAGAGUAUUUAUGCCCAUUAUCUGUAGUGGUUAAUAUUAUAUCAACUUGGCGGAUGUUUUUGGAUGAGUUUUACAUUUAAUCAGUGAACUUUGAGUAAGCAGUUGAGAGCGUGAAUAGCACAAAAAGACCAGUCUCCUGGAGCAAGAGAGAAUUCUCUGUCAAACUACCUUCAGAGUUCGUCUGUACCAUCAGCUCUGCUGGAUCCUGAAACUGCUUGUCGACAGGCAGAAUUUGGACUCACCAGGCUCCAUAACUGUAGCCGUCUGGGGAGCCACUGAUGCAAGCUCACAUUUCCACACACCCAGAUUUCCUGAGGGAGCACCUUGGAGAUGCUAAGUGAGGCAUGUGAGAGAGAAUGGAUUCCAGGCCAAAGAGUUACCUCCAUGAUGCCUGGCAUGAAGAAUAGUACAGGGGUAGGUGUGGUUGGGACAACGGGUUGGGGACAACGGGUUGCCGGCUCGGGCGAACGGCUUCAACUUUUCUGAGCUUCUGAGAAUGGAGAUGUUACCACAGGCCUAAUAUGAGGACCGAAUGAAUGAGCAAAUGUGAAGGGUUUUGUACACGUUAAGGCAAGGGUCAGCAGCCUUUCUCUGUGAAGGGCAGAGAGCAAAUAAUUCAUACUCUGCCACUAUAGUCUGAAGGCAAUUGCAGACAAUACAUAAAAACAUGGGUACAGCUGUGUUCUGAUAAAACUUGGUUUGCAGAUGCUGAAAUUUAAACUUCCUAUAAUUUUCAUAUGCCAUGAGACAUUAUUCCUCUUUUCAUUUUCCAACCAUUUAAAGAAAAUAAACAGUCUUAGCUCUAGGCCAGACAGAAAGAGAAAGCAGGGCAGAUUCGGCCAUGGAGCCACUGAUUGCCAGCCUCUGGCUUAAAGUGCUGCGUAGACAUAGACAGCACAGCCAGGGAAGGAGUUUUGCAAAACGGUCAAGAGGACCGCAUUUUUUCUAUAUUCAUGUGAGGCUUUUGGGAAGCAAUUACUCGCUAGGCUUGGUGAUGCUACUGUGAAGGGAUUAGCAAUCUGGAAAAGAGGUCCCUGUGGGCUGGGUCCACCAGGGAAGAGAUUCAUGGAAGGUGGGACAUCGCUUUAAAAUGAAGGAGUGUGAUUGCCAUAGGGCAAGGCCAAGAUAAGAGGGCAGGGUAUUUAAGGAGGAAAGGAAGAGUAAGGACCCAGAAGAGACAAAAGGACGAUUGAAAGACAACCAGAGAGAGGAACGGGGUACAGUGGGCAGCACCAACACUCCAGUCGGAGACUCCUGGCUCUUUCCGCAUUCGAGAUGCCUGGUAGAUUGUGUGGACAAAUGGAAAAUCUAGAAGCGCCCAGCUCUAGGAGAACUUUUCGUCAGACUGAGAGACAGCAGGACAUUCCAGUGGAGGUUAUUAAAAAUAACUGAUCGGCUGACAUGACGGGGAAAAAAAGAAUUGAGCACACAAUUGAACGUUAGGUAUUCUGCAAACACGAUCUCAUUUGGGACCCAUAAUAGUGCUUUGGUGUUCUCGUUAUCCCCGUUAUCCCCACUUAAAGAUGAGGACACUGAGAAAAGGUGAGAGAAUGUUCCACUGGGCUUGGCAAUCAUCCUUAGUAACAACAAAGAUUUGUGUAUUGUUUCCCAAAGACUCUCGGCAGGGACCGAGGGAAACAUAGUGAGUAACAACCUUAGGACUGUGGUCAAUGACCUUGAAGGUCCAUGGAAAUGUGUCACUGGUGGGGCAGCCAGUGCUUCCAGGGAGGAACACAGGGUUGGUGUGCAUGCAGAUGAUUCAAAGCCAGCCUGACUAGAGUAGCUGCAGACUUCUUACAUCAUCUAUUGGUAAGCCCGGGAGUGGUUCACAAGA